UACGUAGGGGGCAAGCGUUGUCCGGAAUCAUUGGGCGUAAAGAGCGCGUAGGCGGCCCGGUAAGUCCGCUGUGAAAGUCAGGGGCUCAACCCUUGGAAGCCGGUGGAUACUGUCGGGCUAGAGUCCGGAAGAGGCGAGUGGAAUUCCUGGUGUAGCGGUGAAAUGCGCAGAUAUCAGGAGGAACACCUAUGGCGAAGGCAGCUCGCUGGGACGGUACUGACGCUGAGGCGCGAAAGCGUGGGGAGCAAACAGGG
rnacentral:rRNA from 1 species